rnacentral:lncRNA from 1 species
GAGAAGUGCAAAGUUGAGUGACAGUGAAAUACUGGUCUUGCCUCUAAUGCAAUUAAUCUAACUUUCAUUGCAGUGGCCGGACCUGGACUUAUAGGGGUGUUGAGGCAGAUUAUCAGAAGUACCUUGAUAGCUCCGGUUUCUGAAUACCCACUCCAGUCAGUAGACACUAUUAAGACGCAGGAACAUAGAUGCAUUAUUUUUCAUUGGUUGAAAUCUCUUGGACAUCAAAGCUAUAAUAGUAGAGUCCAAAACCAUGGGGCAGUGAGCAAAAGGCUCUUUCCAAAGAAGUCUGUGCAGUGUCACCAGUUGCCAAGAGGCUGCCAGGGGGCUUAAAGGUCAGUAC